UGGGCAACGGCUUUUUCCUCCCCGGCUCCCCCCUUCUCUCCGACAGUCCGACUCUCCCCUUCUCUGCCUUUUUAAUGCCGGAACCUUCUCCGGUUCUCGGCACUCGGUCUCGGCACUCGGCAGGGCAGAUCGGCUAUUCGGCUUGCAAAACCCUCUCUAGCUCUCUGCUCUCCUUGCCGACGUCCGGUCCAUUGUGCGUCCGUGCAGAGUCCCGUGACUUCCGUCCUCUCCUCGGCGUCCAGCGUCCUCGCCGACUCUGAGUCGCCGUCCUCGGCUCCUCCGACAUCCGACUCCGCGGCGACCGAGGGCCGAGGCGGUGAGGCCUCAGUCCCAUCCUCUUCUCGCCGACGUCGCCGACUCGCCGUCCUCGGCCUCCCGUGAGGCUG
rnacentral:lncRNA from 1 species